UCCUAUCCUUAGUGAUUCCACAGUCUGA
rnacentral:piRNA from 1 species